UGGGGAAUAUUGCACAAUGGGCGCAAGCCUGAUGCAGCGACGCCGCGUGGGGGAUGACGGCCUUCGGGUUGUAAACUCCUUUCGCAACUGACGAAGCUUUUGUGUGACGGUAGGUUGAGAAGAAGCACCGGCUAACUACGUGCCAGCAGCCGCGGUAAUACGUAGGGUGCGAGCGUUGUCCGGAAUUACUGGGCGUAAAGAGCUCGUAGGUGGUUUGUCGCGUCGUGUGUGAAAUUCCGGGGCUUAACUUCGGGGUUGCAUACGAUACGGGCAUAACUUGAGUGCUGUAGGGGAGACUGGAAUUCCUGGUGUAGCGGUGAAAUGCGCAGAUAUCAGGAGGAACACCGAUGGCGAAGGCAGGUCUCUGGGCAGUAACUGACGCUGAGGAGCGAAAGCAUGGGGAGCGAACAGGAUUAGAUACCCUGGUA
rnacentral:rRNA from 1 species